rnacentral:tRNA from 1 species
GAAAAUCCGUUGACUUUAAAAAUCGUGAGGGUUCAAGU